GCAGUUGCACUUCAAGUCUCUUCCCUUCUUUUUCUGUUCUUACACUUGGACAGUUAUAAACUUUUCUUUAAUUCAUUCUUUGCCUUUAUUUUCCCUCUGCAGAAUCCAACAGGGAAGCCUUGAAGAUAUAAACAGCUUCUCAGUUUAAAAGAGUCCAAUGCAUUUUGCCAACACUUCUAACAGAAGUUUUGAGAUGGCAGGAUGAGACCUGCACACAGUCCUGAAGACAGUAGAAGAAUAAAGGAAUAAUUAUGCCAUAGAAUAAUGGCAUAAGUGCAUUUUCUGUUUUACCCUUUAUUUCUUUCUUAAUAAUUUGUGAUGUCCGGCUUAACCAUUUGAGCAAAGAUGUUCACUUACCUAAUUCAAUUCAAUUUCAGAAAUCAAUCUGCUAUGACUCCAGGACCUUUGGACCCAUCAGUUUUUGGAUAACUAGGAUUUUUUUUCCUAUGUGAAUAACAGAUACUGCAUUUUAUUUGGUUUUUUACUGUCCUUUCCCUUUUCUCUGGAUCCUUCACUAAACUCAAAGUUCAAAUAAAAAUACAAAUAAACAACUUCCUUCUACACAAGACCUGUGCUUUUCUAUUAAUCUUAAA